rnacentral:rRNA from 1 species
UACGAAGGGGGCUAGCGUUGCUCGGAAUCACUGGGCGUAAAGCGCACGUAGGCGGACUCUUAAGUCGGUGGUGAAAUCCUGGAGCUCAACUCCAGAACUGCCUUCGAUACUGAGAGUCUCGAGUCCGAGAGAGGUGAGUGGAACUGCGAGUGUAGAGGUGAAAUUCGUAGAUAUUCGCAAGAACACCAGUGGCGAAGGCGGCUCACUGGCUCGGUACUGACGCUGAGGUGCGAAAAGCGUGGGGAGCAAACAGGG